rnacentral:rRNA from 1 species
AAUGGUCUAACGACUGACGGAGCGACGCCGCGUGUGGGAAGACGCCCUUUGGGGUGUAAACCACUUUUAUUAGGGAAGAACAAAUGACGGUACCUAAUGAAUAAGGGGCUGCUAACUUCGUGCCAGCAGCAGCGGUAAUACGAAGGCCCCAAGCGUUAUCCGGAAUUACUGGGCGUAAAGCGUCCGCAGGUUGCUUAAUAAGUAUGCUGUUAAAUCUCAGGGCUCAACUCUGAAACCGCAGCGUAAACUGUUAAGCUAGAGGGUGGAAGAGGUACCUGGAAUUGUCGGUGUAGUAGUAAAAUGCGAUGAUAUCGACAGGAACACCAAAUGCGAAGGCAGGGUACUGGGACACUCCUGACACUCAGGGACGAAAGCGUGGGUAGCGAAUCGGAUU